CCUACGGGGGGCAGCAGUAAGGAAUAUUGGGCAAUGGACGCAAGUCUGACCCAGCCAUGCCGCGUGGAGGAUGAAGGUCCUCUGGAUUGUAAACUUCUUUUAUCUGGGAAGAAAUCCACGAAUUCUUUUGUGGUUGACGGUACCAGAUGAAUAAGCACCGGCUAACUCCGUGCCAGCAGCCGCGGUAAUACGGAGGGUGCAAGCGUUAUCCGGAUUCACUGGGUUUAAAGGGUGCGUAGGCGGGUUGCCAAGUCCGUGGUGAAAUCUCUGAGCUUAACUCAGAAACUGCCGUGGAUACUGGUAAUCUUGAAUAUCGUGGAGGUAUGCGGAAUAUGUCAUGUAGCGGUGAAAUGCUUAGAUAUGACAUAGAACACCGAUAGCGGAGGCAGCAUACUACGCGAUCAUUGACGCUGAGGCACGAAAGCGUGGGGAGCAAACAG
rnacentral:rRNA from 1 species